rnacentral:lncRNA from 1 species
GCAGAAGUUCGCGAUCGCGAAGUCUUUGUGCGGAUUAAUCGUCGCGAUAAUCUUGGGAAUCUUAAGUUUUCAAAUAUGGUGAAAUAAAAAUUUAACGGCCCAUCAGCAAGCGGAGCCAACUCCCAGGACAAUUGCAAUUUCCUCAUGGCAAGUGGCUCACAGCGAAAGAGUGUUCAGCCAAACAUAGCGAUUGCCGUCGACCAGCAAUAGUCGUGAUCCUGACCACAAUCCUCGGAAUCCGGAAAGAGGAUCAUUGGUCUUUCUUUUGUUCCAGAACCUGCUCCAGUAUUACCACCGGAUUUGCCUGUAGAAUGAAGUGCCGUUCCUUCGGAGCCUUAAGCCUUCUUCGGAUGGCACUGGAAAGCGGAGAUUGUCAUCAAAUGGACCCAAUUCAUUCUGCUGUCCAUGGGUGGAAAAAAUCCAAAACUCCUGCCUCCACGAAUACACGACAUGCAAUCGAUGAACCAGAUCAGCCGCAAAAUACAAUGCAACCGAGUGGUAGGUACUUCUAAUGCGGGAGCACUCGAUCUAGCAUUGGAACGGCGACUACAGUUAAACGGAUCGGCACGAAAAACUUGAACGAGCUUUACGAUUCAUUUCACUCUUGGCUGGAAGAAACUAAUCACUACCUGAAGUGCCUGCAGGCUUGAUUUUAAUCUCUGUCCACUGCGGGUUCUCGGACUAUCACAUGAAGUGCUCCAGUCGUUAUGCUGCAUUAUUUUAAAGUUUUUGAAGCAAUAAAAAUGGAAUAAAUAA